rnacentral:tRNA from 1 species
GUCCCCUUCGUCUAGAGCCCGGGACACCGCCCUUUCACGGCGGUAACAGGGGUUCGAAUCCCCUAGGGGACGCCA